CUCCAAGUCACCCAAGGAUCUUGUCAAUAGGCAGAUUCUGAUUCUUGGUAGGUCUGGAGAAGAACAGAGAUUCUGUUUUUCUGACCAGCUCCCACCAGUGCCAAGUCU
rnacentral:pre_miRNA from 1 species